rnacentral:rRNA from 1 species
AUUGAACGCUGGCGGCGUGCCUAACACAUGCAAGUCGUGCGAGAAAGCUUUCUUCGGAGAGUGAGUAGAGCGGCGCACGGGUGAGUAACGCGUGGGUAACCUGCCCAUAAGACUGGGAUAACAGCCGGAAACGACUGCUAAUACCGGAUAUGCUCCAUGUUUAACUAUAUGGGGUAAAGGUGGCCUCUACAUGUAAGCUACCGCUUUUGGAUGGGCCCGCGUCUCAUUAGCUAGAUGGUAGGGUAACGGCCUACCAUGGCUUCGAUGAGUAGCUGGUCUGAGAGGAUGAUCAGCCACACUGGGACUGGAACACGGCCCAGACUCCUACGGGAGGCAGCAGUGGGGAAUAUUGCGCAAUGGGGGAAACCCUGACGCAGCGACGCCGCGUGCGGGAAGAAGGCCUUCGGGUCGUAAACCGCUGUCGGGAGGGAAGAAACCAUAGGGGUCGAAUAGGCUUCUGUGCUGACGGUACCUCCAGAGGAAGCACCGGCUAACUCCGUG